rnacentral:rRNA from 1 species
AUGGACUCGCGGCUUAUCAGCUUGUUGGUGGGGUAGUGGCUUACCAAGGCUUUGACGGGUAGCCGGCCUGAGAGGGUGACCGGCCACAUUGGGACUGAGAUACGGCCCAGACUCCUACGGGAGGCAGCAGUGGGAAUAUUGCACAAUGGGCGGAAGCCUGAUGGAGCAACGCCGCGUGAGUGAAGAAGGUUUUCGGAUCGUAAAGCUCUGUUGUUGGUGAAGAAGGAUAGAGGUAGUAACUGGCCUUUAUUUGACGGUAAUCAACCAGAAAGUCACGGCUAACUACGUGCCAGCAGCCGCGGUAAUACGUAGGUGGCAAGCGUUGUCCGGAUUGUCGACGCGGCCG